CUUUUUUUAGAAAAUGUAAAACAACUCCUUGAAUAUGGACAUCAUCCGAUUUAUUCAUCACCAUCAUCAACAGCAAACACUUGCUGAGUGUGUUAUGCUAAUUUUGCCCACAGCUCCCAAGAUCCUCCAGCAUUAAGGAUGCUCAUUCGUCACAGCCCAUUCCCAACAACUACUGUAACCCUGACUAAUGGAGCUAGGCAUGCCAGCUAUGAACCUGGAAGUACUAGAAGGCUGUGGUGGCAGCAGAGGAGGAGGCCCUGA
rnacentral:lncRNA from 1 species